UAAAUAUCUAUGAAGCAGGAAAGGAAUUUGAAUGUAUAGUGCCCUUAGAGACGGAUACAAUGGCACUAUUAAUCCACAGUAAUUACUGCCCUACCUUGUAGCUGGUAGUUUCUAGGACUUGUCAUGAGCCUGCUGAGCACGAGACUAACUCUCUUGUACCUGGUUAGUAUAGAGACAGUGUGCACUACGUGUUCAACAGAGUGCAAGGACUGUCCCGUGAAGCGCAGACAUGCUGUCAAGAAGCCCUUACCUGGACACUGGCUAAUUACACAGGAAUCUCUUCUGGGGCAGCUGCACUUUUGCUAGAAAGGAUGCAGGGCAACACAGCACCUAGGAUGCCAUAUUUUAUAUCGCUGUCCCCUCUCCUCACUUCCUUUGCCAGUACAGAGGUAAGAUUAAGAUAUUUUCCUUCCAGAUCAGUUUCUCACAGUGUGAUACUGUGGGUGGUUUUUAGCAGCGAUGGAUGUGCAGCUUGUAUGUAGGAUCUACAUUUAUGUAAGCCAGCACACAUGAACAGAUCAGCUCUUGUAUUUGCACAUGCAUAAGAGCUGGUUGAAACCAAGUGCUUUUAAGGGAAUUUAUACUGUGCUCUGUACGGUUUGCUAUUGCUGGUGACAUUGCUGGUGUCACUGAUGUCAGACGGUGCUGAUCUAACAGCUCAUACUGCAUUCAUUGAAGUCUCUGUGAAUUAAGGGGUAGGAUGGCUAAAUCAGUCUGUUUUCAGCAUUCUCUGUCUGUUUUUGAGUCUCUGCCACUUACGGAGAUGCUGCGCUGAGGGAAGCUGCUAUCUCACACCACGCACACUGCUGAAAUCACACUGUGCAGUUCAUACCUCCUCGCGUUAUCACCGUGCAAGCCAGGGCUGAGUGUGCGUGUCACUGUUAUGCUGGCAGGGGCAGCGUGCGGCGCAGCGGGAAUUGGGGAAGUCGUGUGAAAGACACGGCUGUGCCAGCACAGGCCCCGCACAGCCCAGCGGGACCUCUGGGGAACGAACCCCUCUGGUGCCGGCAGGGAGGCACGUAGCCGCGCUUCCUAUCCUCGCCCCUGGCGGAUCCGUGGCGGGGUGAGGCUCCUGUCCUCACAGUACAGC
rnacentral:lncRNA from 1 species